rnacentral:lncRNA from 1 species
GCCUUGAGUUUUCCCUCCCUCCAGCUGGCCGACUCUGGGAUGCUUCCAGACAGCCUCUCGGAGGUGAGAGAGGAAGGAACAUUAACUCUGCAACUUAGCCCCUCGGAAAAGUGCGUCCACUCACUGGUGACUACCUCGCUUAGCCAUUAAAUGUCAUGGCAGCCCAUGCGCACAGGAAAGAGAAUCUACAUCUGGCAGUAAAAAAAGAAGCAGAGGGGAUGUUUGAGCCACAAGAUGCAAGGAGCCUGGGACCCUAAAUUACCAUGAGGAGAAAGCUGCAUGCCGGCCAGGAAGCCCCACACUGGAUUGUUAUAGAGAAACAUCGGGAAUGACAACACAAUGAGAUCAUGAUAAAAGGAAGCAACUAAACCUGACAGGUCACCUCCUCCUCUCGUUCUAGCAACCCAGCCUCUCAUAAGAACAAGGAAGAGCAAAGUGACAGCUUCCAGAGCAAAGGGGAGACAUCUCGCAGCUCUGAGUAGAUAAGCUUAGUGCUGGCUUCACACGGAGGGGCAAGACUCCGGACUCCGUAGGAUAACAAAGCUUUGUUUCCAAAUCAACUGUGAAUAUGAAGACCGAAGGAGAGCUGAC